AGGUCAAACAAAGAAGGGCACAGGGCGGAUGCCUUGGCACUAAGAGCCGAAGAAAGACGUGACAAGCUGCGAAAAGCCGCGGGGAGGAGCAAAUAUCCCAUGAUCCGCGGAUGUCUGAAUGGGGAAACCCGGCAGGAAAGACUCCUGUCAUCCAUGCGCCAAUCCAUAACGCAUGGAAGGGAACCCGGUGAACUGAAACAUCUAAGUAACCGGAGGAAAAGAAAGAAACAUCGAUUCCGUAAGUAGCGGCGAGCGAACGCGGAGGAGGCCAAACCGGAAUGCGUGCAUUCCGGGGUAGAGGACUGCAUAAGCUACCUUAAGCAGCAGCAGAACGGUUUUGGGAAAGCCGGCCGCAGAGGGUGAAAGCCCCGUAAGCGAAGCUGUGGGAGGAGCGGCAGAAUCCGGAGUACCACGAGACACGAGAAACCUUGUGGGAAGCCGGGGGGACCACCCCCCAAGCCUAAAUACUACUUAGUGACCGAUAGAGCAGAGUACUGUGAAGGAAAGGUGAAAAGGACCCCGGGAGGGGAGUGAAAGAGAACCUGAAACCCUGUGUUUACAAACUGUGGUACAAACUGUGGAAGUACCAUAUGAGUACAACCGCGUACUUUUUGUAGAACGGUCCGGCGAGCUGUGCAGUCUGGUAAGGUUAAGCACAUAAAGUGCGGAGCCGGAGGGAAACCGAGUCUUAAGAGGGCGAAUAUCAGGCUGUGCAGGCCCGAAACCGGGUGAUCUACCCAUGUCCAGGUUGAAGCUGCCGUAAGAGGCAGUGGAGGACCGAACGCACAUCCGUUGAAAAGGGUGGCGAUGAGGUGUGGGUAGGGGAGAAAUUCCAAUCGAACCCGGAGAUAGCUGGUUCUCCUCGAAACCCGGAGAUAGCUGGUUCUCCUCGAAAUAGCUUUAGGGCUAGCCUCGUCAGAGUCUUGCGGAGGUAGAGCACUGAAUUUCCUAGGGGGCGUCAAAGCUUACCGAAGAAUAUCAAACUCCGAAUGCCGCGUAGAUGAUUGACGGGAGUCAGACCAUAUGAGAUAAGUCGGAUGGUCAAAAGGGAAAGAGCCCAGACCGCCAGCUAAGGUCCCAAAGUGUGUGUUAAGUGGAAAAGGAUGUGGGAUUUCGAAGACAACUAGGAUGUUGGCUCAGAAGCAGCCAUACAUUCAAAGAGUGCGUAACAGCUCACUAGUCGAGAGGUCCUGCGCCGAAAAUGUCCGGGGCUGAAACACAACACCGAAGCUGCGGAUACCGGAAGGUAUGGUAGAGGAGCAUUCUUAAGACGGCGAAGCUGUACCGGCAAGGAGCAGUGGAGACUUAAGAAGAGAGAAUGCCGGAAUGAGUAGCGAGAUGAAGGUGGGAAUCCUUCAGGCCGAAUAUCCAAGGUUUCCAGGGUAAAGCUGAUCUGCCCUGGGUAAGUCGGGGCCUAAGGCGAGGCAGAAAUGCGUAGCCGAUGGACAACAGGUGGAAAUUCCUGUACCGCAUAUAAACAGAACUGUGGGGACACGGAAGGAAAGCAUGGGCCGGGAAUGGAAAUACCGGUACAAGCGAAGGAGGAGCAUGGCAGGCAAAUCCGCCAUGCAAUCCAGAAGCGUGACGUGGAGCGAAAAUAAAGUAGCGAAGCAUGCAGACCAUCCGUCAAGAAAAGCCGCUAUUGUUUUAUAUGUGCCCGUACCGUAAACCGACACAGGUGGAUGAGGAGAGAAUCCUAAGGC
rnacentral:rRNA from 1 species